UCUUCUCUUUCUCCAGGAAAGUUUCAACGAUCUCUUCGUGGACACAAUGACGCCUCUACGUUUCGCUGUUGUCUUCGUCCUCCUCUUUGGUGUAUUUGUCGCCAAUGAAGCUGCACCUGAAGGACACGAGCUUGAACGUCGUGACAUUGGCCUUGACCUCCAGCUCUGCGCUUGUCUUCCGAUUGUUA